UACGGGAGGCAGCAGUGGGGAAUAUUGCACAAUGGGCGCAAGCCUGAUGCAGCCAUGCCGCGUGUAUGAAGAAGGCCUUCGGGUUGUAAAGUACUUUCAGUCGUGAGGAAGGUGUUAAGGUUAAUAACCUUAGCAAUUGACGUUAGCGACAGAAGAAGCACCGGCUAACUCCGUGCCAGCAACCGCGGUAAUACGGAGGGUGCGAGCGUUAAUCGGAAUUACUGGGCGUAAAGGGCACGCAGGCGGUUAAUUAAGUUGGAUGUGAAAUCCCCGGGCUUAACCUGGGAAUGGCAUUCAAGACUGGUUAGCUAGAGUCUUGUAGAGGGGGUUAGAAUUCCAUGUGUAGCGGUGAAAUGCGUAGAGAUGUGGAGGAAUACCGGUGGCGAAGGCGGCCCCUGGACAAAGACUGACGCUCAUGUGCGAAAGCGUGGGGAGCAAACAGGGAUUAGAUACCCGU
rnacentral:rRNA from 1 species